rnacentral:rRNA from 1 species
UACAGAGGGGGCAAGCGUUGUUCGGAAUUACUGGGCGUAAAGGGCGCGUAGGCGGCCUGCUAAGUCGAACGUGAAAUCCCCGAGCUCAACUCGGGAACUGCAUCCGAUACUGGCGGGCUUGAAUCCGGGAGAGGGAUGUGGAAUUCCAGGUGUAGCGGUGAAAUGCGUAGAUAUCUGGAGGAACACCGGUGGCGAAGGCGGCAUCCUGGACCGGUAUUGACGCUGAGGCGCGAAAGCUAGGGGAGCAAACGGG